GACAAAAAAGCUGCAAAUAAUUUUGUCUUCGUUGUACUCGCUUGUUCGUGAAAGUUCUCCUAUCUUAAAGCGAAGAUUCGUCACGAGAACUCCCACUGAUAACUUUCUCUAUUUGUUUUGCAUAAGUUGUUCAAUGUCAUAGACCGGACACAAGAUGACAAGAUAACGUCCGACGACAUGGUUCACUUAGAUAAGGAGGAUUGGGAACACAUUCGUGUGUUGGUAACUGAUUUGACAGACUUAUCAAUGGCGGAAAACGACAUGAGAGAAGAGGAGAUGACGUCGGAAGCUGAACAAUUCGGAGAAAUGAGCCAGGAUGAAUCCGAUUUACAUACGGAACUAUGACAAUAGUACUUAGGAAAUUUUCAGUUCGAACCAGCGUAAGUUUGGCUCUGAGAAUCAGGAAACUAUAAAGUUAAAUGCACGUCUUGACCCUUUGCGCCCUGACAUGGGCAUUCAUAUUUUCCACGCUAUCCCCUCAACAAUUCCCAGGUAAAUAAAAUAUUAAAUGAGCUGAGCAACUUAAAAUAGAUAAUAAAUGAUUUAAUAACUGAAAGAAUGAUUUCUAUGAUAUCUCUUUUUAAGACACGAUUAUUCAAAUGUUUAACCCCUCAGGCUUAUAUUGCCAUUAGCUCUUCAAGGUAAUUAUGUCUUGAUCGCUUUAUUGAAGCUCAGUGUUCCUGUUUUAUUCUUCAUAAAUGGUUAAUUUUUUUUACCUUUUGUCUGCUCCGCCUGUUUCAGUUCGGUUACGAAUAUUAUGCUGCUGAGAGAAAA